rnacentral:rRNA from 1 species
CCUCCAAGGCUAAAUACUCCUGACUGACCGAUAGUGAACCAGUACCGUGAGGGAAAGGCGAAAAGAACCCCGGCGAGGGGAGUGAAAAAGAACCUGAAACCGUGUACGUACAAGCAGUGGGAGCCUCUUUAUGGGGUGACUGCGUACCUUUUGUAUAAUGGGUCAGCGACUUAUAUUCUGUAGCAAGGUUAACCGAAUAGGGGAGCCGAAGGGAAACCGAGUCUUAACUGGGCGUUAAGUUGCAGGGUAUAGACCCGAAACCCGGUGAUCUAGCCAUGGGCAGGUUGAAGGUUGGGUAACACUAACUGGAGGACCGAACCGACUAAUGUUGAAAAAUUAGCGGAUGACUUGUGGCUGGGGGUGAAAGGCCAAUCAAACCGGGAGAUAGCUGGUUCUCCCCGAAAGCUAUUUAGGUAGCGCCUCGUGAAUUCAUCUCCGGGGGUAGAGCACUGUUUCGGCAAGGGGGUCAUCCCGACUUACCAACCCGAUGCAAACUGCGAAUACCGGAGAAUGUUAUCACGGGAGACACACGGCGGGUGCUAACGUCCGUCGUGAAGAGGGAAACAACCCAGACCGCCAGCUAAGGUCCCAAAGUCAUGGUUAAGUGGGAAACGAUGUGGGAAGGCCCAGACAGCCAGGAUGUUGGCUUAGAAGCAGCCAUCAUUUAAAGAAAGCGUAAUAGCUCACUGGUCGAGUCGGCCUGCGCGGAAGAUGUAACGGGGCUAAACCAUGCACCGAAGCUGCGGCAGCGACGCUGAUGCGUUGUUGGGUAGGGGAGCGUUCUGUAAGCCUGCGAAGGUGUGCUGUGAGGCAUGCUGGAGGUAUCAGAAGUGCGAAUGCUGACAUAAGUAACGAUAAAGCGGGUGAAAAGCCCGCUCGCCGGAAGACCAAGGGUUCCUGUCCAACGUUAAUCGGGGCAGGGUGAGUCGACCCCUAAGGCGAGGCCGAAAGGCGUAGUCGAUGGGAAACAGGUUAAUAUUCCUGUACUUGGUGUUACUGCGAAGGGGGGACGGAGAAGGCUAUGUUGGCCGGGCGACGGUUGUCCCGGUUUAAGCGUGUAGGCUGGUUUUCCAGGCAAAUCCGGAAAAUCAAGGCUGAGGCGUGAUGACGAGGCACUACGGUGCUGAAGCAACAAAUGCCCUGCUUCCAGGAAAAGCCUCUAAGCAUCAGGUAACAUCAAAUCGUACCCCAAACCGACACAGGUGGUCAGGUAGAGAAUACCAAGGCGCUUGAGAGAACUCGGGUGAAGGAACUAGGCAAAAUGGUGCCGUAACUUCGGGAGAAGGCACGCUGAUAUGUAGGUGAAGCGACUUGCUCGUGGAGCUGAAAUCAGUCGAAGAUACCAGCUGGCUGCAACUGUUUAUUAAAAACACAGCACUGUGCAAACACGAAAGUGGACGUAUACGGUGUGACGCCUGCCCGGUGCCGGAAGGUUAAUUGAUGGGGUCAGCGCAAGCGAAGCUCUUGAUCGAAGCCCCGGUAAACGGCGGCCGUAACUAUAACGGUCCUAAGGUAGCGAAAUUCCUUGUCGGGUAAGUUCCGACCUGCACGAAUGGCGUAAUGAUGGCCAGGCUGUCUCCACCCGAGACUCAGUGAAAUUGAACUCGCUGUGAAGAUGCAGUGUACCCGCGGCAAGACGGAAAGACCCCGUGAACCUUUACUAUAGCUUGACACUGAACAUUGAGCCUUGAUGUGUAGGAUAGGUGGGAGGCUUUGAAGUGUGG